rnacentral:rRNA from 1 species
CCUACGGGUGGCAGCAGUGGGGGAUAUUGCACAAUGGGGGAAACCCUGAUGCAGCGACGCCGCGUGUGGGAAGACGGUCUUCUGGAUUGUAAACCACUGUCCCCAGGGACGAAAAUGACGGUACCUGGGGAGGAAGCUCCGGCUAACUACGUGCCAGCAGCCGCGGUAAUACGUAGGGAGCAAGCGUUGUCCGGAAUUACUGGGUGUAAAGGGAGCGUAGGCGGGGAUGCAAGUUGGGUGUCAAAACUACCGGCUCAACCGAUAGUCGCACUCAAAACUGCAGCUCUUGAGUGAAGUAGAGGCAGGCGGAAUGCCUAGUGUAGCGGGGAAAUGCGUAGAUAUUAGGAGGAACACCAGUGGCGAAGGCGGCCUGCUGGGCUUUUACUGACGCUGAGGCUCGAAAGUGUGGGGAGCAAACAGGAUUAGAUACCCUUGUAGUC